AUUGAACGCUGGCGGCAGGCCUAACACAUGCAAGUCGAACGAGUGGCGGACGGGUGAGUAAUAUCUGGGAAACUGCCCGAUGGAGGGGGAUAACUACUGGACACGGUAGCUAAUACCGCAUACCAUCUGAUGUGCCCAGAUGGGAUUAGCUUGUAGGUGAGGUAACGGCUCACCUAGUCGCCGAUCCCUAGCUGGUCUGAGAGGAUGACCAGCAAAACGGGAACGGAGACACGUUCCAGACUCCUACUGGGGUAAGCGGUGGGGAAUAUUGCACAAUGGGCGCAAGUCUGAUGCAGCCAUGCCGCGUGUAUGAAGAAGGCCGUCGGGUUGUAAAGUACUUUCAGCGGGGAGGCGUUACCCGCAGAAGAAGCACCGGCUAACUCCGUGCCAGCCGCCGCGGUAAUUC
rnacentral:rRNA from 1 species